UAGACCCGAAACCAGGUGAUCUACCCUUGGUCAGGUUGAAGUUCAGGUAACACUGAAUGGAGGACCGAACCGACUUACGUUGAAAAGUGAGCGGAUGAACUGAGGGUAGCGGAGAAAUUCCAAUCGAACCUGGAGAUAGCUGGUUCUCUCCGAAAUAGCUUUAGGGCUAGCCUCAAGUGAUGAUUAUUGGAGGUAGAGCACUGUUUGGACGAGGGGCCCCUCUCGGGUUACCGAAUUCAGACAAACUCCGAAUGCCAAUUAAUUUAACUUGGGAGUCAGAACAUGGGUGAUAAGGUCCGUGUUCGAAAGGGAAACAGCCCAGACCACCAGCUAAGGUCCCAAAAUAUAUGUUAAGUGGAAAAGGAUGUGGCGUUGCCCAGACAACUAGGAUGUUGGCUUAGAAGCAGCCAUCAUUUAAAGAGUGCGUAAUAGCUCACUAGUCGAGUGACACUGCGCCGAAAAUGUACC
rnacentral:rRNA from 1 species